rnacentral:rRNA from 1 species
ACUAAGCGUACACGGUGGAUGCCCUGGCAGUCAGAGGCGAUGAAGGACGUGCUAAUCUGCGAUAAGCGUCGGUAAGGUGAUAUGAACCGUUAUAACCGGCGAUUUCCGAAUGGGGAAACCCAGUGUGUUUCGACACACUAUCAUUAACUGAAUCCAUAGGUUAAUGAGGCGAACCGGGGGAACUGAAACAUCUAAGUACCCCGAGGAAAAGAAAUCAACCGAGAUUCCCCCAGUAGCGGCGAGCGAACGGGGAGCAGCCCAGAGCCUGAAUCAGUAUGUGUGUUAGUGGAAGCGUCUGGAAAGGCGCGCGAUACAGGGUGACAGCCCCGUACACAAAAAUGCACAUAUUGUGAGCUCGAUGAGUAGGGCGGGACACGUGGUAUCCUGUCUGAAUAUGGGGGGACCAUCCUCCAAGGCUAAAUACUCCUGACUGACCGAUAGUGAACCAGUACCGUGAGGGAAAGGCGAAAAGAACCCCGGCGAGGGGAGUGAAAAAGAACCUGAAACCGUGUACGUACAAGCAGUGGGAGCACGCUUCGGCGUGUGACUGCGUACCUUUUGUAUAAUGGGUCAGCGACUUAUAUUCUGUAGCAAGGUUAACCGAAUAGGGGAGCCGAAGGGAAACCGAGUCUUAACUGGGCGUUAAGUUGCAGGGUAUAGACCCGAAACCCGGUGAUCUAGCCAUGGGCAGGUUGAAGGUUGGGUAACACUAACUGGAGGACCGAACCGACUAAUGUUGAAAAAUUAGCGGAUGACUUGUGGCUGGGGGUGAAAGGCCAAUCAAACCGGGAGAUAGCUGGUUCUCCCCGAAAGCUAUUUAGGUAGCGCCUCGUGAACUCAUCUCCGGGGGUAGAGCACUGUUUCGGCAAGGGGGUCAUCCCGACUUACCAACCCGAUGCAAACUGCGAAUACCGGAGAAUGUUAUCACGGGAGACACACGGCGGGUGCUAACGUCCGUCGUGAAGAGGGAAACAACCCAGACCGCCAGCUAAGGUCCCAAAGUCAUGGUUAAGUGGGAAACGAUGUGGGAAGGCCCAGACAGCCAGGAUGUUGGCUUAGAAGCAGCCAUCAUUUAAAGAAAGCGUAAUAGCUCACUGGUCGAGUCGGCCUGCGCGGAAGAUGUAACGGGGCUAAACCAUGCACCGAAGCUGCGGCAGCGACACUAUGUGUUGUUGGGUAGGGGAGCGUUCUGUAAGCCUGUGAAGGUGUGCUGUGAGGCAUGCUGGAGGUAUCAGAAGUGCGAAUGCUGACAUAAGUAACGAUAAAGCGGGUGAAAAGCCCGCUCGCCGGAAGACCAAGGGUUCCUGUCCAACGUUAAUCGGGGCAGGGUGAGUCGACCCCUAAGGCGAGGCCGAAAGGCGUAGUCGAUGGGAAACAGGUUAAUAUUCCUGUACUUGGUGUUACUGCGAAGGGGGGACGGAGAAGGCUAUGUUGGCCGGGCGACGGUUGUCCCGGUUUAAGCGUGUAGGCUGGUUUUCCAGGCAAAUCCGGAAAAUCAAGGCUGAGGCGUGAUGACGAGGCACUACGGUGCUGAAGCAACAAAUGCCCUACUUCCAGGAAAAGCCUCUAAGCAUCAGGUAACAUCAAAUCGUACCCCAAACCGACACAGGUGGUCAGGUAGAGAAUACCAAGGCGCUUGAGAGAACUCGGGUGAAGGAACUAGGCAAAAUGGUGCCGUAACUUCGGGAGAAGGCACGCUGAUAUGUAGGUGAAGCGACUUGCUCGUGGAGCUGAAAUCAGUCGAAGAUACCAGCUGGCUGCAACUGUUUAUUAAAAACACAGCACUGUGCAAACACGAAAGUGGACGUAUACGGUGUGACGCCUGCCCGGUGCCGGAAGGUUAAUUGAUGGGGUCAGCGCAAGCGAAGCUCUUGAUCGAAGCCCCGGUAAACGGCGGCCGUAACUAUAACGGUCCUAAGGUAGCGAAAUUCCUUGUCGGGUAAGUUCCGACCUGCACGAAUGGCGUAAUGAUGGCCAGGCUGUCUCCACCCGAGACUCAGUGAAAUUGAACUCGCUGUGAAGAUGCAGUGUACCCGCGGCAAGACGGAAAGACCCCGUGAACCUUUACUAUAGCUUGACACUGAACAUUGAGCCUUGAUGUGUAGGAUAGGUGGGAGGCUUGGAAGUGUGGACGCCAGUCUGCAUGGAGCCGACCUUGAAAUACCACCCUUUAAUGUUUGAUGUUCUAACGUUGACCCGUAAUCCGGGUUGCGGACAGUGUCUGGUGGGUAGUUUGACUGGGGCGGUCUCCUCCUAAAGAGUAACGGAGGAGCACGAAGGUUGGCUAAUCCUGGUCGGACAUCAGGAGGUUAGUGCAAUGGCAUAAGCCAGCUUGACUGCGAGCGUGACGGCGCGAGCAGGUGCGAAAGCAGGUCAUAGUGAUCCGGUGGUUCUGAAUGGAAGGGCCAUCGCUCAACGGAUAAAAGGUACUCCGGGGAUAACAGGCUGAUACCGCCCAAGAGUUCAUAUCGACGGCGGUGUUUGGCACCUCGAUGUCGGCUCAUCACAUCCUGGGGCUGAAGUAGGUCCCAAGGGUAUGGCUGUUCGCCAUUUAAAGUGGUACGCGAGCUGGGUUUAGAACGUCGUGAGACAGUUCGGUCCCUAUCUGCCGUGGGCGCUGGAGAACUGAGGGGGGCUGCUCCUAGUACGAGAGGACCGGAGUGGACGCAUCACUGGUGUUCGGGUUGUCAUGCCAAUGGCACUGCCCGGUAGCUAAAUGCGGAAGAGAUAAGUGCUGAAAGCAUCUAAGCACGAAACUUGCCCCGAGAUGAGUUCUCCCUGACUCCUUGAGAGUCCUGAAGGAACGUUGAAGACGACGACGUUGAUAGGCCGGGUGUGUAAGCGCAGCGAUGCGUUGAGCUAACCGGUACUAAUGAACCGUGAGGCUUAACC